CGGAAAACGGUAAUAGUGCGUGUAAACAUACUCCCAAGAAAAUCCGCUAAACUUAAUCUUACAGGUACCCGUACCGUAAACGGACACACGUAGUCGGGUUGAAUAUACUCAGGCGCUUGAGUGAAUCACGGUUAAGGAACUAGGCAAAUUGACCCUGUAACUUCGGGAUAAAGGGUCCCUACCCGGUGACGGGAGGGCGCAGAGAAUAGGUCCAGGCAACUGUUUAACAAAAACACAGGGCUGUGCAAAAUUGAAAGAUCACGUAUACAGCCUGACACCUGCCCGGUGCUGGAAGGUUAAGAGGAGAUGUCAUCGCAAGAGAAGCAUUGAAUUGAAGCCCCAGUAAACGGCGGCCGUAACUAUAACGGUCCUAAGGUAGCGAAAUUCCUUGUCGGGUAAGUUCCGACCUGCACGAAUGGUGUAAUGAUCUGGACACUGUCUCAACCGUGAGCUCAGUGAAAUUGUAGUAUCGGUGAAGAUGCCGAUUACCCGCGAUGGGACGAAAAGACCCCGUGAACCUUUACUAUAGCUUAACAUUGAAUUUGGGUAAUUGAUGUGUAGGAUAGGCCGGAGACUUUGAAGC
rnacentral:rRNA from 1 species